rnacentral:rRNA from 1 species
CCUACGGGUGGCAGCAGUGAGGAAUAUUGGUCAAUGGACGAGAGUCUGAACCAGCCAAGUAGCGUGAAGGAUGAAUGCCCUAUGGGUUGUAAACUUCUUUUAUAUGGGAAUAAAACGUUCCACGUGUGGGAUUUUGUAUGUACCAUAUUAUUAAGGAUCGGCUAACUCCGGGCCAGCAGCCGGGGUAAUACGGAGGAUCCGAGCGUUAGCCGGAUUUAUUGGGUUUAAAGGGAGCGUAGGUGGAUUGUUAAGUCAGUUGUGAAAGUUUGCGGCUCAACCGUAAAAUUGCAGUUGAAACUGGCAGUCUUGAGUACAGUAGAGGUGGGCGGAAUUCGUGGUGUAGCGGUGAAAUGCUUAGAUAUCACGAAGAACUCCGAUUGCGAAGGCAGUUCACUGGACUGCAACUGACACUGAGGCUCGAAAGUGUGGGUAUCAAACAGGAUUAGAUACCCCAGUAGUC